rnacentral:rRNA from 1 species
GUGUCAGCAGCCGCGGUAAGACGAACCGUCCAAACGUUGUUCGGAAUCACUGGGCUUAAAGGGCGCGUAGGCGGACUGCCAAGUCCGGGGUGAAAUCUUUCGGCUUAACCGGAAAAGGGCCUUGGAAACUGGCGGUCUCGAGGGAGGUAGGGGCCUGUGGAACUUCGGGUGGAGCGGUGAAAUGCGUUGAUAUCCGAAGGAACGCCGGUGGCGAAAGCGACGGGCUGGAUCUCUUCUGACGCUGAGGCGCGAAAGCCAGGGGAGCAAACGGGAUUAGAUACCCCGGUAGUCCUGGCCCUAAACGAUGAGGACUAGGUUGCGGACUGAACAUGGGUUCGCAGCCGAAGCAAAAGUGGUAAGUCCUCCGCCUGGGGAGUAUGGUCGCAAGGCUGAA